rnacentral:rRNA from 1 species
GUGGGGAGCGAACAGGAUUAGAUCCCCUGGUAGUCCACGCCGUAAACGAUGAAUGCCAGCCGUUGGGGUGCAUGCACUUCAGUGGCGCAGCUAACGCUUUAAGCAUUCCGCCUGGGGAGUACGGUCGCAAGAUUAAAACUCAAAGGAAUUGACGGGGGCCCGCACAAGCGGCGGAGCAUGCGGAUUAAUUCGAUGCAACGCGAAGAACCUUACCUGGGUUUGACAUA